AAGCAAAAAUUACAGACAUUAUAAAUAAAGAUGAGCCAUGGUAUUCUUCAUGCAAAAAAUGUUUCAAGAAAGUUGAUGUUAUAAAAGACACUGCAACUUGUGGUAGCUGUAACAUAGAAAAUGUUGAUUAUGAAAGCAGAUAUUGUUUAAGAAUUGAAGUUUCUGCUGGAGAACGACGUGUUCGUGUUAUACUUUUUGACGCUGCAGAAUAUUUGUUUGGUUGUGAUGUCAAGGAGUAUAUUCAAUCAAUCUGUACGAAGAAGGAAGAAUCUAAUUACUACCGCAAGUUGGUGCUGAGU